rnacentral:rRNA from 1 species
UACGUAGGGGGGCGAGCGUUGUCCGGAUUUAUUGGGCGUAAAGAGCUCGUAGGCGGCUCAGUAAGUCAGGUGUGAAAACUCCAGGCUCAACCUGGAGACGCCACCUGAUACUGCUGUGGCUAGAGUCCGGUAGGGGAGCAUGGAAUUCCUGGUGUAGCGGUGAAAUGCGCAGAUAUCAAGUGGAACACCAGUGGCGAAGGCGAAUCCCUGGAAAAUACCUGACACUGAGGCACGAAAGCUAGGGGAGCAAACAGG